AGUGGGAUAACUGGGUCAAAUGGUGUCUCCAUUCCUUGUUCUUUGAGGAAUCUCCAUACUGUUUUCCAGAGUGAUUGCACUAAUUUGCACUCCCACCAGCAAU
rnacentral:pre_miRNA from 1 species